UACGGGGGGGGCAAGCGUUGUUCGGAAUUACUGGGCGUAAAGGGCUCGUAGGUGGUCAACUAAGUCGGACGUGAAAUCCCUCGGCUUAACCGGGGAACUGCGUCCGAUACUGGAUGACUUGAGUUCGGGAGAGGGAUGCGGAAUUCCAGGUGUAGCGGUGAAAUGCGUAGAUAUCUGGAGGAACACCGGUGGCGAAGGCGGCAUCCUGGACCGACACUGACGCUGAGGAGCGAAAGCGUGGGUAGCGAACCGG
rnacentral:rRNA from 1 species